UUUUAUCUUUGUUUUGAAGGAAAGAUGUCCUAACCCAAAAUUCAAAAGGAAUCUAAGAUUUAGAGCAGAGGUGACCCACAAAGGCCAUCGACGGUCAGUCAUUUCAUCAACGGGCCGUAAAUGGUGACAGUGGACUGAUAGUUAUGGCAUCUGGAUAAACUAGGGGAAAUUUGACCAUGUGUUGGGCUACAAAUGGAUCGACGUUCCGUCGAUUGAUAAAUAGAACGACCUAUUAAAUUGUAGAUACGUUCAAAAUUAUUCCAGUACCCGUAGUUGAAGAAAGUCUUAGUAUGAAAUGAUGACAUCAAGGAACCGUAGAUGCAUGGACAAACCGUGUUGUUGGUCCGUCAAUUAAUUAUAGAAGAUGCCAACUGAAGGAAUAAAAAGAUACUAAUUCUAGACUGAGGGAGGCAGUCGAUGGUCCGUCGUUUCAUCGACGGACUAUCUGUGGUGGUUGUCGAUUACAGUCUUGUUUUCUUGACAACUUUCCUUAUUUUAAUUCCUUUUAAUGUAGAACUAUGUUUUAAGUAAUAGGGGGUAAUAAUCUCAUUUUUAGGGUUGGAUUAUAUUACUAUUGUUCUUAAUUUGUUUUU
rnacentral:lncRNA from 1 species